rnacentral:lncRNA from 1 species
GCCGCUUGGCGACUACCACAAUUGUACUAGCAGCAGUACAACGAAGAACCCCAAAAUGAAACGAUCUACUGAGCUAUUACCGUUGCUUGUUAAUCACAGUACACCGAGACCAAGCUUUCCCCUCCAAACAAACCGCACGUCGCCUUCAACAAAAGAGACCAAAACUUCACUACAUGUAAUCCCCAUAAACCUAAGCUUCUUUUCUCGGGCUUCGCUUUAGUGGCGAUCAUGCCGAUGCUCC